GUGCUGGUCUAUGUGGUGUAUUGUGGAGCCUGAGGGUACCAGCCCAAGUUUCAGCAGUUAAAGAAGGACCUGGAAAAACGGUUCCCAGGGCUGCUGAAAAUUGAUGGCGAAGGUACCCCAACUGCUAC